rnacentral:lncRNA from 1 species
CUGCCUCAGCCUCUCAAAGUGCUGGGAUUACAGGCAUGAGCCACGGUGCCUGGGCUGACAAAUAUUUAUUAUUGAGUUUGUGGAACCCAGAAUGAUCUAGGGCCUCAGUGGCCACUGAACCCUGGGGCACACUUGAACAAAAAUAUGGGCUUCUCAGCCACUAUGCCUUGACAUCCUCUCUAAUCAGAAGUUUGUGUAAUAAGUGCAAAAGACAAUAUUCACAGUGACAAUGAUACUGUGAACUGCCAUAGGGAGAGUAGACAUGACUGUGGUGACAAUGCAGCGGCAGCAGGACCCUGUCCUCUCAUAAGUGGGCAUCCUUUCCCCAUGUGAACACCACAUAGCAGAAACGCCCAUCUUCCAAAGCCCUUUUAUCAUGUUAUGAAUUAUUUACACUUCCAUAUAUUUCAGUUAAAGAGUGGUAAUCAGAUCUGUAUGGAUGCCACUUGGGUCAUUUGUCAUUUCACUUGAAGGCAAAGAAAUGUUUUUAACUGGUAAGUACAACCUUAUCAUAAAAGUCUAUUUUCUGUAAGAAAUACUGAAAAUAUAUUAAAGACCUCCCUUAGUGCCCUUCAGGACACAUAAGAAUCCUAAUAUACCAGGUUGGGAACCAUUGCUAUAGGAUUUGAAAGGAAUAGUAAAUAGUAUUAUCUGAAAGUGAAGAGGAAGAAGAGAUUCUACUUAAAAAUAUUUGUUAAAUGACUGAAAGAAAUAAAUCUAUGAAGUCGUUUAGAACAUGGUCCUUUAGGGAAAGACCUGCCUGCUGUAGAUUCCAUUCACAUUUUAUACGUUUGUAAUGCCUUACAAAGCUAGUCUUUGCACUUAAAGCUACUGCUAACUGAGCAAUAGAAUCACACCUCAUAAGGCUUAAACUGUGUAUUUAAAGGUUUUGAUAGGGGAUCCAGAAAUCUGAGUGAAACCCUGGGUUCUGCAGGUACACAUGGCUCAUGUAUAAGGCAUUUGAAGGGCUUGUGGCCUUGAUGGGGAACACUGUCAACUCUGAUCCUGUUUGUCUGAGGUUACUUGGGGUACAAGAUGAAGACAGAAGGGCGUGCCUCCCUUCUGGAACCAUCACGGCCAGCAGCCGCAUGUUGGGCAGCUGCUGAUACUCAGGGUGCCCAGGCGGGAGAUGGUGAGAGGCCAGCCCUAGCCAAAUUCCUUGCUGCUGCCAGAGGAAGCAGUCUUGCCAUGUGUGUCCACAGGGAUAAGAUUAGCUGCCGAGGUGGAGCUGAUAUCUGAGCGAGGCUCUCGAGGACACAUUCUGGAUAGAUCUCCAUAUGGGAGUUGGAUGACUGCCACCAGCCAGUCUUGGCAGUCCCCAGAAUUCUUCUGAAGUGGACAGUGGAAGAAGUGAAACAUUUGCCUGGCAGCUGGCAUCAAUGCAGUCUCUCUCUGGACAUGCAGAAGAAAAGGUUCAAAAGGAACUGAACCCAAACCAGUCUUUAUUUGAUUUUAGAUGGAAUUAAAACAUUUUUGUGGGUCUCGACAAGUAUUGCCAGCACUGCACCUGCCACCCUGAUAGAGAUGGGGACUUGCUAUACUGCCCAGGCUGGAUAUGAAC